rnacentral:tRNA from 1 species
GCCGGUGUAGCUCAGCUGGUAGAGCAACUGAUUCGUAAUCAGUAGGUCGGUGGUUCGAGUCCACUCACCGGCACCA